rnacentral:rRNA from 1 species
UACGUAGGGGGCAAGCGUUGUCCGGAUUUACUGGGCGUAAAGAGCGUGUAGGCGGCCAAGCAGGUCCGUUGUGAAAACUGGAGGCUUAACCUCCAGACGUCGACGGAAACCGCGCGGCUAGAGUCCAGAAGAGGAGAGUGGAAUUCCUGGUGUAGCGGUGAAAUGCGCAGAUAUCAGGAAGAACACCAAUGGCGAAGGCAGCUCUCUGGGACGGUACUGACGCUGAGACGCGAAAGCGUGGGGAGCGAACAGG